rnacentral:rRNA from 1 species
UACAGAGGGUGCGAGCGUUAAUCGGAAUUACUGGGCGUAAAGCGUGCGUAGACGGUAGCGUAAGCAGAUGUGAAAGCCCCGGGCUCAACCUGGGAACUGCAUUUGAGACUGCUCUGCUCGGGUGCGGAAGAGGGAAGCGGAAUUUCCGGUGUAGCGGUGAAAUGCGUAGAUAUUCGGAAGAACACCAGUGGCGAAGGCGACUUACUGGACGAUUGUUGACGCUGAGGUGCGAAAGCGUGGGGAGCAAACAGGG